ACAGAGGUCUCAACCGUUGUUCGGAUUCAUUGGGCGUAAAGGGUGCGUAGGCGGUCGCGCAAGUCGGAUGUGAAAUCUCAGGGCUCAACCCUGAAACUGCAUUCGAUACUGCGUGGCUAGAGUGCUGGAGAGGAGACUGGAAUUUACGGUGUAGCAGUGAAAUGCGUAGAUAUCGUAAGGAAGACCAGUGGCGAAGGCGAGUCUCUGGACAGCAACUGACGCUGAGGCACGAAGGCCAGGGGAGCAAACGGGA
rnacentral:rRNA from 1 species